AGUACCGGAGGAAGGUGGGAUGACGUCAAGUCCUCAUGGCCUUUAUGCUUAGGGCUACACACGUGCUACAAUGGGUGGUACAAAGAGAAGCCAACUCGCGAGAGCGCGCCAAUCUCAAAAAGCCAUCCUCAGUUCGGAUUGGAGUCUGCAACUCGACUCCAUGAAGUUGGAAUCGCUAGUAAUCGCGGAUCAGCAUGCCGCGGUGAAUACGUUCCCGGGCCUU
rnacentral:rRNA from 1 species